UACGUAGGGUGCGAGCGUUGUCCGGAAUUAUUGGGCGUAAAGAGCUCGUAGGCGGUCUGUCGCGUCUGCUGUGAAAACCCGGGGCUCAACUCCGGGCUUGCAGUGGAUACGGGCAGACUAGAGUUCGGUAGGGGAGACUGGAAUUCCUGGUGUAGCGGUGAAAUGCGCAGAUAUCAGGAGGAACACCGGUGGCGAAGGCGGGUCUCUGGGCCGAUACUGACGCUGAGGAGCGAAAGCGUGGGGAGCGAACAGG
rnacentral:rRNA from 1 species